CACGAACCGUACGAACGUUAUUCGGAAUUACUGGGCUUAAAGGGUUUGUAGGCGGCCUUGUAAGUCAGGUGUGAAAGCCCGUCGGCUCAACCGAGGAACAGCGCUUGAUACUGCAAGGCUUGAGGGAGACAGGGGUAAGCGGAACUGAUGGUGGAGCGGUGAAAUGCGUUGAUAUCAUCAGGAACACCGGUGGCGAAAGCGGCUUACUGGGUCUCUUCUGACGCUGAGGAACGAAAGCUAGGUAGCGAACGGG
rnacentral:rRNA from 1 species